GGGUUGUGAGGUUAAGCGACUAAGCGUACACGGUGGAUGCCCUGGCAGUCAGAGGCGAUGAAGGACGUGCUAAUCUGCGAUAAGCGUCGGUAAGGUGAUAUGAACCGUUAUAACCGGCGAUUUCCGAAUGGGGAAACCCAGUGUGAUUCGUCACACUAUCAUUAACUGAAUCCAUAGGUUAAUGAGGCGAACCGGGGGAACUGAAACAUCUAAGUACCCCGAGGAAAAGAAAUCAACCGAGAUUCCCCCAGUAGCGGCGAGCGAACGGGGAGGAGCCCAGAGCCUGAAUCAGUGUGUGUGUUAGUGGAAGCGUCUGGAAAGGCGCGCGAUACAGGGUGACAGCCCCGUACACAAAAAUGCACAUACUGUGAGCUCGAUGAGUAGGGCGGGACACGUGGUAUCCUGUCUGAAUAUGGGGGGACCAUCCUCCAAGGCUAAAUACUCCUGACUGACCGAUAGUGAACCAGUACCGUGAGGGAAAGGCGAAAAGAACCCCGGCGAGGGGAGUGAAAAAGAACCUGAAACCGUGUACGUACAAGCAGUGGGAGCCUCUUUAUGG
rnacentral:rRNA from 1 species